rnacentral:rRNA from 1 species
GACGAACGCUGGCGGCGUGCUUAACACAUGCAAGUCGAACGGCAAGGCCCUGCUUUUGUGGGGUGCUCGAGUGGCGAACGGGUGAGUAACACGUGAGUAACCUGCCCUUGACUUUGGGAUAACUUCAGGAAACUGGGGCUACUACCGGAUAGGAGCUCCUGCUGCAUGGUGGGGGUUGGAACGUUUCGGCGGUUGGGGAUGGACUCGCGGCUUAUCAGCUUGUUGGUGGGGUAGUGGCUUACCAAGGCUUUGACGGGUCGCCGGCCUGAGAGGGUGACCGGCCACAUUGGGACUGAGAUACGGCCCAGACGCCUACGGGAGGCAGCAGUGGGGAAUAUUGCACAAUGGGCGGAAGCCUGAUGCAGCAACGCCGCGUGCGGGAUGACGUCCUUCGGGUUGUAAACCGCUUUCGCCUGUGACGAAGCGUGAGUGACGGUAAUGGGUAAAGAAGCACCGGCUAACUACGUG